GAUGAACGCUGGCGGCGUGCCUAAUACAUGCAAGUCGAGCGAACGGACGAGAAGCUUGCUUCUCUGAUGUUAGCGGCGGACGGGUGAGUAACACGUGGAUAACCUACCUAUAAGACUGGGAUAACUUCGGGAAACCGGAGCUAAUACCGGAUAAUAUUUUGAACCGCAUGGUUCAAAAGUGAAAGACGGUCUUGCUGUCACUUAUAGAUGGAUCCGCGCUGCAUUAGCUAGUUGGUAGGGUAACGGCUUACCAAGGCAACGAUGCAUAGCCGACCUGAGAGGGUGAUCGGCCACACUGGAACUGGGACACGGUCCAGACGCCUGCGGUAGGCAGCAGUAGGGAAUCUUCCGCAGUGGGCGAAAGCCUGACGGAGCGACGCCACGUGAGUGAUGAAGGUCUUCGGAUCGUAAAACUCUGUUAUUAGGGAAGAACAUAUGUGUAAGUAACUGUGCACAGCGUGACGGUACCUAGUCAGAAAGCCACGGCUAACUACGUG
rnacentral:rRNA from 1 species